CGCAGGCAGGUCUAAUGGUAGGACAUCGCCCUUUGCCUGCCCGCGCAGGCGGGGAGGCGAGUAUCUUGGUUCGAAUCCAAGUCCCGCAG
rnacentral:tRNA from 1 species